CAUUUCCAGGACCGGUCCUGUGGAAACCUGGCAGUGUAUAAAAGAAAUGUGCGAAGAAAUGAGCUAAAAUUUCCAUAUACAUCAAGCCAUACACCUUCCAUAGGCUUUUGGACAGGAGUGAGAGCUGGACUGAGAAGGACAGUCAUGCUCGGGCACAAUGGCAGAGCUUAGGUUGGCGUAGCCAUUGGUUUAGCUGUUAACAGAAUAACCACCAUGAAAAGUUAAUUCCUGCAUAGUCUCAACCCCAAAUUACAUGUUUGUGGGGGAGAAAGACCUAGAAGCAAGAGUGAUGAAACACCCAAGAUGGUGAAAGGAGGAAGAGAAGACCGAGUGAAUUACGGAGAGGAAGAGGAGCUGUAGGAGCUCCAGGGGCAAUCAGGUGUUUUGGUAGGUUUGAGGGAAACAGCCUGGAAAGGUAAAGCAGUAAGUCAAGGCCCUGUGGGAAUGGGAGAACAAGACACAUGCGAGAAACCUUCAGCUGAAGGAGUGGACCUGCAAAAGAAGGAAUCAGUGGGCAGAGGAAGCAGCUGAGGGGCUUAGAUAUGGAGCAGCAGCGGGGUCCAAGUGCAAAAAACCGUGUGUGAUCUGAAUAUCCUCCAGUCACGCCUUGGAAACCCUAAUAAAGCUGCCUCUGAACCCCGUACGUGGAGGAGGCGCCAGGACCAGGAGGCAGAAGCACCUUUUUCACCCCUGGGAGCACCAGCCGGGGUAAGUGACAUCUGGCUGGGGCACCACCAGAUCGUUGGACCAAAGGCUGAAGCCCCACAGCCCUCUGAAAGCUGCAUCGAGUUUUAAGUGUUGUGUGUGUACAAAGUGGUGUGUGUUGGCCUCGGUAAACAAGUCAACAGAGAAGGCAAACCAGAGCUGUGCGAUGCUCGGUGUGCCGCCUGCAGCCUGGGGGAUAAUAGCUUGGCACUGCCUGUAGCCCGCCAAAAUGCUCCUCUAAGGCAAAUGAUGGAGAAACAUCAUCUGGCGCCGUACUGCCGGGAUUUGGCCCAGCUGGUGAACUCUUGAAGGGCUGAAUAAGAUAGAGUCGUUCUUCCAAGUAAUUUUUGUCCCAUGUUGCACGGCAUAUAAUGAAAUAAGGCGAUUCAGGAGGGUUAAACCAGAUAAAAGAAGGCAGCCAUCUCAUGGAGCUGCUUCGAUGAACACCAUUUUUUGUCGCCUUUCAGGCAUGGGCCUGGGCUGUGCCUUAGGCCGUGUCAGGCUUUCACCAUCAUUUCUGAGAGCUCAGGUUUUGUAGAUUCAAUUCUACAUGAAAAGUUCUUGAAAAGUGAGGUAGUCAGCAAUUUUACAAUAAAGAAAUUUUUCCAGCUAGCGUUAAUGUAAUG
rnacentral:lncRNA from 1 species